rnacentral:lncRNA from 1 species
GACCCCUCCCAGACUCCUACAAAGGCCGAACUCUGACUACUGUCGAGCCAUGAUCAACAGAUCCGUGUCCUUUGGCAGAUAACAAUAACUGCCAUGAUCCUGUUCCACUUCCUGUAGCGGAUUCCACGCGGCUCCACCUCCCCCUGCGACAGGUGCUGCACGAUCCCACUACCUUCUGACAGGCUGUGUCAACAGCUAUGAUGCUGCUCCGCUCCCUGCG